UGUAGAUAUCCACAUUGUGGAGAUGAGGCUGAAAACGUGAUGAGAUGAAUUUCUCACUAAACCUCUAUUUCUAGCUUUCUUUUUAAUGGAGAUUGUACUCCACUUUUGAUUACAAUUUAAUACCCCUCAACAACAUGCUGCUACAAAAAGAAACAGACGGCUGGAUAUAGGCAAACAACCCAUAUCCAUCUAGCCAGUAUGGACAGUUGAGGCUACAUACUGCUCAGAUAAUCAAAUGGAAGCAUCCACAUUGUCUAAAAUAUUUUCUUAAACUUCUUUGCAUUAAGUAGAAUUCUACCAGCUGUAACAGCUUAGAUACAUAACGUAAGGGCUCAAGUUCAGUCAAAUACCCAAGUAACACUAAAUGGAGAUGGUUGCAAAGAGCCACAGCCACUCAGAAGACAAAAAGAGAAAAUCACAUAUAAAGUACAAUUCAAUGCUUAACUGGUCUUUGAACAUCUUCUUUAAUGACAUUAAGGAUACUUCAAAAUAAUCGGAUUCUUCAGUUACUGGAGUGAUGAGGGAAAGAGAAACUAAAGGAUAUAUACAGGGGUCUACACUGUCCUACAAGGAGCCCGAGAUGAAUGUCUUUCAGAUCCUAUCCAACCUUUCAACAGACACUAUGAGAGCCCUUCUAAGAAGGAUAUGGUUGUACACUGGCAAGAAAAAAAAAAAAAUCCAAAAUCACAAUUUUCUUGUUUGGUUGCAAGACUUAAGUUUUCUGAGAUUCAGAACUGCAUGUUUGUGAAGUCUGAACUUGAGCCUGAGCUUGUGGCCUUGUUCAGGCUACCGUGGAGAUGUAGAAGUAAAGAAACUAAUUUGCUGUCUCAGGGAGACCAAAACUAACAGCAACAUAUGGGCCAUGCUUCCAAAUUCCCUUUCCUUAUUUCCUCUGUUGGCAAAUGCUGCCUAUCUAAUACCUCUAUCUGUAAUUUUUAUAUUUCAUUACCCAAAGUGAAAUCACAGCUGGGACUCACAGAAAAAGAAUCAGAACAAGCCUGUCAAACGUGUGUUCUCUAUCCAGGCUAGAAGAAAGGAGUCACUGUGAUAGCUAAAGGCAGCAAAUAUCUGUAUACAGCACUGUUUUCAUCA